rnacentral:rRNA from 1 species
ACGGGUGAGUAAUACAUCGGAACGUAUCCUGGAGUGGGGGAUAGCCCGGCGAAAGCCGGAUUAAUACCGCAUACACUCUGAGGAGGAAAGCGGGGGACCUUCGGGCCUCGCGCUCAAGGGGCGGCCGAUGGCGGAUUAGGUAGUUGGUGGGGUAAAGGCCUACCAAGCCGACGAUCCGUAGCUGGUCUGAGAGGACGACCAGCCACACUGGGACUGAGACACGGCCCAGACUCCUACGGGAGGCAGCAGUGGGGAAUUUUGGACAAUGGGGGCAACCCUGAUCCAGCAAUGCCGCGUGUGUGAAGAAGGCCUUCGGGUUGUAAAGCACUUUUGUCCGGAAAGAAAUCAUCGGGGCCAAUACCCCUGGUGGAUGACGGUACCGGAAGAAUAAGCACCGGCUAACUACGUGCCAGCAGCCGCGGUAAUACGUAGGGUGCGAGCGUUAAUCGGAAUUACUGGGCGUAAAGCGUGCGCAGGCGGUGCUGUAAGACCGAUGUGAAAUCCCCGGGCUUAACCUGGGAACUGCAUUGGUGACUGCAGCGCUGGAGUAUGGCAGAGGGGGGUGGAAUUCCACGU